rnacentral:rRNA from 1 species
GACGAACGCUGGCGGCGUGCCUAAUACAUGCAAGUCGAACGCAGUGGGGACGGGUGAGUAACACGUGGGUAACCUCCCAUCAGAGGGGAUAACACUUGGAAACAGGUGCUAAACCGACACUGGUGGAUGGACCAGCGGUGCAUGAGCUAGUUGGGGAGGGAACGGCUUACCAAGGCCACGAUGCAUAGCUGACCGGGGAGGGUGGUCGGCCACACUGGGACUGAGACAGGGCCCAGACUCCUACGGGAGGCAGAAGUAGGGAAUCUUCGGCAAUGGACGGAAGUCUGACCGAGCAACGCCGCGUGAGUGAAGAAGGUUUUCGGAUCGUAAAACUCUGUUGUUGGAGAAGCGGUAUCUAACCAGAAAGCCACGGCUAACUACGUGCCAGCAGCCGCGGUAAUAC